AAGAGAAGUGAUUGCCUAGGCCCUAGGGAGAAGACAUCAAGACUACCACACGUAUAGGCUUGCUCUACCCAGGACGUGGGGAAUUUUGCUUCGCUUGGAAUCAGCCCCAGAAUUCAGAAAGAUUCCUCUCUUCUCAUCUCCAAGACUGCUGUGACUCAUAUACUCCUUAGGUCUUUCCUAUUAACUGCAUAGACAUGCACUCCAUUUCUGCUUAAGAAGUUUAGACUGAAUAUGACAGGAAUGUGGACACCAAAAAAGAAUGUAAUAAGCAUGGGAAAAGUUGUUAAAGCUAAUAAAUUAUUUUAAAAUCUU